rnacentral:rRNA from 1 species
UACAGAGGGUGCAAGCGUUAAUCGGAAUUACUAGGCGUAAGGCGUGUGUAGGUGGUUUGCUAAGUCAGGUGUGAAAUCCCAGGGCUCAACCCUGGAACUGCAUUUGAUACUGGCAGGCUAGAGUGUAGUAGAGGAUGGUGGAAUUCCCGGUGUAGCGGUGAAAUGCGUAGAUAUCGGGAGGAACAUCAGUGGCGAAGGCGGCCAUCUGGACUAACACUGACACUGAGACACGAAAGCGUGGGGAGCAAACAGG